AGUCAGGGCGAGUCCGCCCCGGGGGCGCCCAGCUAGGGAAGGGGCAGCAGCAUGCCUGACCUGGCCAGCGACCCAUAUUCAUCCAGCGCUGGAACACAUCCUCGGGUCCCCAGUUACACACACGCACACAAGCGCGCGCGCGCGCGCGCGCACACACACACACACACACACACACACACACACACACACACACACACACACACACGAGUCACACCCGGGGCAGAAGGGGGAGGAAAACUUGGCUUGGGAGAAGCUGGAUCUUCAUAGACCCGCACUGACCGCCGCCGCAAAGGGAAGGGCACGCCACCUCCUAGGUCAGGGCGCCCCCAAAGUCAGCGGUGGGGGGGGGGGCUGAGAGUAAAUGCCCAACUGGCCCUCCUAGCUCCUCCUUCCAAAUUAAACGCCCCCCCACCCCCUGGCGCUCAGUUGCUUGUAACCGACCUUAAACUUUCCCCACCCUAUUUCGGGACGCUCAGGUCCUGAGGGUCGUUUGGGAUCUAGGCUACGAUCUGGGAAAGGUGUCCCUUUGUACUCCCUACCUCGCCCCGCUCUUAAAAUUACAGAAUAAAUUCCUGGGACGUUUUGUAGAGUUCGAGACGACAUACCCCAGCUAACCUUUUGGUUGUGGUGUACGGAAAGGUUGAAUCUAUGAGGUGCUGGGGACCAUCAUGAAUGAAAAACACUGCGGUGUCCAAGGACGCUAGUUUGGUUGUCGUGUUCACUCUGAGCUUUCUCUGGACUUCAGGUCAAUCCAAGAUAAAGCGCUGAGUAGAAGCGGGGUACCUUCUCUGGACCCAGAAAGAAAUAACCAUUUCUCCACCCCCAAUCUCACACACACCCCUUAGUCGCUCCCUCCAAAUGGUUAUCACAACUGUGUACAAACUGAUACCGUUCUUAGCGGGCCAAGGACUGGAAAUGAACACUGGCGGGGUUAUCAGUGCGGAUCUGUCAGCAGCGAGUGGCGCACUGCUUGUCCCAGGCAGCCGCAGUGGUGUACUUCUUAUUCCUUCGGGCCCACAAGGAGGAUUUCUCCCGACAAGCUGGACACUGGAAGGCUGCGGGAAGGGAAUUGAACAGGAGAAACACUCUUAUGGGAGUGGAUUUUUACACGCACACCCCACGUAAAUUAAAUCACUGUGGCUUCAGUGUGACUGCCUUUCUGAAAGGCUGAAAGUAGAAAACUCUGGAAUGGAGAGGCUGGCAACUGGAGCAGGAUUCGAAGGCUUUAAAUUUUAACCCGCGUUCGAUCGAAAGUUACUACCACAAGAGACUGGCACCGGCCGGCCCAAUUCCCACCAUGGCUUCCAGAGGCUUGCUUUGGGGUUGUCCGAAAAGGGAGAGACGGACAUUCCUGGACUAACAGACAGUGCUGUGCCUUGGUGAUUGGGGCCCCAAAGAGCUCACAGAAUCUGAAAUCUCUGAGGAAUAUCAUGCCUACUAAUAUGAAAGCCCUAAGCAAAGAAGGUCAGAAGCCCAGGGCCAAAGCAGUUAAGAUUCAUCAUCCCAUGUGUUCCGCAACACAAGCGCUCUGAAGGAAGAGUUCACUGACACAAACAUGGAGUAUAUGACAAGCUGUUCAUCAAGAGAGUGAAGAAGACAAAGAACCCAGGGAAGAGAUCGCCAGGAGUCACCAGUUGUCCUCACUGAGAGCCUAUACCUCCAAGCCUAAGUCCAGGCAAAAAAUGUCUUACAGGAUAUGGUCUGAGUAGUCCAACCAUGGAUAUGUCAUACUGGAGCAGCUGAGAACCUGGCAAUAGUCCACAAUGCUGGAUGUCUCCACAGUCCCAACCUGACACCAGAGACAUGGAGGACUCCUGAAGAACUUCUGGUCCUUAAGUGCACACUGGAAGCCCAGAGAAGCUAGCUCUAAUAUCAACCAAGAAUGCAGCAGAACAGGAGAUAGGCUUGCCCUCUCAUCAUCCAGGCUGCAACCAACCAAAAGACACUUUUGUGGAUUUGUAGUCUUUGCUUUUUCUGGACAGGGUUUCUCUGUAUAUCCCCAGCUGUCCUGGAACUCUCUAUACAGGCCAGUCUGGCCUUGAACUUAGAGAUCUUCCUACCUCUGCCUCCCUGAGCACUGGAAUUAAAGGCUUAUGCCACCUCACCCUGCUAAUACCGCCCACUUUUAGGAUACAUCUUUCUGCUUCAAAUGAUCAGAUCAAGAAGAGUCUUUUGAAAGAGCAGGAGGUUUGUGUUAUUCCAGAUCUAAUCUACUUGACAGGUAAGACUGGAGUUCCACCACUGGGACCCCACAGCAGAAGGAUGGACUCCCACAAGCUGUCCUCUGACCUCCAUACAAACCUUAUGGUGCAUGUUUGAGGAUAUACAUUUGAGUGUUUGCGCAUAUACACAAAAUGAAUAGAUGUAUUAAAAAGGAUUUUUAAAACCUUA